ACUCACAGUUACGUAGAACCAAGCGUCUCAGGGAUUUUAACUGUUCAAGCCCAUCAAGCUUUUUCAAUUUGCAGUAUAUCACAUCGAAAACUUGAAGCGACUCCAACCCUUCAAGGCCCUGAAUCUCUGAUAUAGCCGAGUGAAGGAGCUCCAACUCUGACAGGUUUCUCAAGUUUGAAAGAUCAGGAACAAUUGUCAUAGACUUGCAGUUCCCUAUAUAUAAUGUAGAUAAGCUUGAGGGAAGUUCAGUAAAGGAUUGCAGAUCUACACAAGACAAUACCAGCUUCUUGAGUCGAUAAAGCGAACCCAGAUCAGGUGGUAAUGUAGUGAUUUUUGAGAGGGAAAGCUGCAAUGUUUCUAACUUGGAUAACAUUCCAAGCCACAUGGGAUUAGGAUCUUGAACCAGCUUGGUUGGGUCAUUGGUAGGAAACCCCUGUAGAUGAGAGCCGUCCGACAAAUACAAAUGUCUUAGAUUAAUCAGAUUGGAGAGAUUUGGGAUUUUCUCCAUUGACUGAGUACUAACUCGUAAAUUAAUCAAACUAUUAGGAAGCUCUGGAAUCCCCUUAAGCUCUUUGCACAACUCCAAAUCAAGGGUCUGCAGAUGAGAGAGUCUGCAAAUAGUUUCUGGUAAACUACAGAUACGAUUAUCUGACAAGCUCAGGAUUCUCAGAUAUGCAAGUUCCCCUAUAUCACUAGGAAUGUCACCCUCCAGGUUGCAACCCUUGGCGUGAAUCUCCUCAAGCUUUUCCAGCAUCCCAAUGACAACUGGUAUUUGCUCUAUGUAACUUCCCUCCACUUUCAACACUGUCAGUUUUUUCAGAUUGCUUAUCGAAUCGGGCAACUCAGUAAUCCCCGUGCUGGAAAGAUCCAGCUCGACCAAUGACUCCAGUUGCCCGAUGGUGUCUGGAAGUUUAUUUAUUGACCUGCAACCUUUCAGAGAUAAGCACUCAAGUUUCACGAGCUCUCCAAUAGAGGCUGGAAGAUGAGUGAUUUUGGCAUUAUCCAAUGCCAGGUAUGUGAGAGAUUCCAGCUGGCUGAUUGAGCUCCUUAUUUGGGUCAAUGACUUGCAAUCACGGGCACUGAGAGUUUCGAGCUUCUUCAUACCUCCAGGCAUGAUGAAAAUUUCUUGUACAGAGGUUCCAUCAACAAUGAGCUCUGUCAAAGCUUCCAUAGAGCCCAACUGUUCAGGCAAUUCUUGGAUUGAAUGGCAGUCCUUCAUGUUUAAUGAAACAAGUUGUCUUAAGCCACCAAUGGAUGCAUCGAUUUCUACUAAACUUUCACAGCCUUCAAGAAUCAAUAUCUCGAGAGCUUCAUAGGGAGAAAAAUCAGGGUUCCUGUAUAAGCACGUACAUCCCGUGAGAUUAAGAACCUUUAGGUUCUUCGACAUCUGCAAGAAUAACAACAGUGAGGGCAAUAAAAACAUAGGUAUACUGAAUUAUGGAGCCACGACUAACAGAGCAUGUCCUACCUUGAUUUGAUGCCAGCCCUCCCAAUAUUCGCUGAUCUUGCUCCAAGAGAGAUCGAGUAUGACUAGAUUCCUCAGAUAAAAAUUGGUAGGCAAGAAAUUUGAAGGGCAAUAAUGCCAGCAAAGCCACCUUAACUGUGGAAGAAGAUUUUCAAAGUUACCAGCAAGGUUCACACCAUUGACCUGGAGGAACCUUAAGUUGGAUAGACUUGAAAAUUCAACUUGAGUGAGAUAGUACUGUGACUUGCUAUCAAACUUAAGACGGAGGGCUUCAACCAUUUCAGUACCCUACAAAUGCAACAUGAAACAGAAUAAGGACAAAUGACACAAUAAGUCUAGGUAUAGAUCAGCAAAAUUGCUUGUUCCUAGUUUAGAGAAUUUUAAGGAGGCCAUUAGUCAAAGCUUGUAUCAGCAUUCGGCUUUAUGCAAGCAAAGUGAGUAAGCCCCUAAAAUGAACGGUUAUUUACUUAAGAUAAAGGUCAACAAGGAAAAAUUUCUACCUUGUGAUUAAUUAAUGUGUGCAAUGCUUCCUCAUGGUUCCAUAUUCUACUACGCCUCCCGAAUUCCAUGUUACCUUCUUGUCGAACAAUUUCUCGACCGAGGUCUCUAAGCUGGUCGUGCAUCCACAGCUUGUUGUCAUCACCAAUCUUUAUCAAAGACAUGAGACGAAGGACUUCAAUACCUUCCUCUGGGAAAAAAUCAGCUUCAUCCCAUAAGUGAACUACAAUUCUCUUGUCAAAUCCAAUAAACAGACAUGCUAUGUCAAGAAAGAUCUGCUUCUGCCAGUGAUCUAGAGCAUUGUAGCUUAUCCUCAACUUUUUCUCAACUUCAUCACGAGGUGCUUUUUCCAACUUCUUCAAUGUGUCCUCCCAAACUUUUUUUGUUUUCCCGGACAGAAAUGAACCUAUGGUCUCAAGAGCUAAAGGAAGGCCUCCAGUGAUGUCAACAACCUUUUUUGAGUAGGUCAAAUAAUCAUCAGGUGGGCGGUCUCUUCUGAAUGCAUGCCUACUGAAAAGGUGAAUUGACCGAUCUGCAUCCAUCCCUUCCAGUUCAUAUUUCCAAUACAUUUCAGGCACAUUGAGCACAUCUAUGUUUCGGGUUGUAACAAUGAUCCUACUACCUGGACCAAACCAACUACUCCUUCCCGCGAGCGCAUUUAACUGAGCUCUCUCGUCAACAUCGUCAAGAAGGAUAAGAACUUCCUUACCAGAAAAUCUCUCUUUGAUUGUGUUGAUGCCUUCAUCAACAUUAGUAAUUUCUGGACCCUUUCUUUGCAGGAUGUGUGAGAUCAGUUGAUUCUGCAAAAAUUCAAGGCCCCUGUUCUGUGAUGUUUCUCGUACAUCUGUGAGGAAGCUACAGUACUCAAAAUGACUUGAAAGCUGGUUGAAAACAACCUUAGCAAGAGUGGUCUUGCCGAUGCCACCCAUUCCAUGAAUCCCAAUGAUCCUUACAUCAUUGGAACCCACAUUCAGCAUUCUCAUGAGCUUAUCCAUGUGAUCAUCAAUGGCAACUAACUCGUCAGUUACAUUCAAAUGGUGCACCUUCAGGCUAACCAGCACUUUUCGAAGAAUUAAAUCUAUGAGUUUUCCUUGAAGCCUGCAUUAUUUGGAUAAUUGAUGGCAAGAGAUAUGAGAAUACUCCCAUAGAAAGAUCAUCAAAUUAUGGAAAUCAGAAUUUCAGAGAAUGAGUUAUGCCAUUCUAGUCCAUCCAGGGACUUGACAGUGAGAUCGGAUAAAAAACUUUAGUUCCGAACAUCUCUUAUUACUAUUCACGGAUACAGACAAAAAAAAAGGGAGAAUAUCAAUAAACAUGAGACAAAGACUGAAAUUCGUUCUACUUCUUUUUUGCGGCUUCCCCAUCUUUGUUUCGUUUCCAUGAUUAAGAGAGAUAAACUAAGGUUCGAAAAAGAAUUCACAAGUAAUGGAAUAAAAUAGCAGCAAGAGAGGUGAGAAUACUCCAAUAAGAACGAUCAUCAGAUUAAGGCAAACAGAAUCUCAGAGAAUGAGUUAUGACUUUCUAGUCCAUCCGGGGACUUAAAAGUAAGAUGAGGUAAAAAACUUUAGUUCGACACAAAGAAAAUGACAAUAUCAAUAAACAUGAGUCAAAGACUGAAAUUCUGGUUGUGCUUCUUUUUUGCAGAUUCCCCAGUUUUGUUUCGUUUCGUUGAUUAAGAGAACUAAACUAAGAUUCCAAAUAAAAUUCACAAGUAAUGAAAUAAAAUAGCGGCAAGGGCCUAAAGAAAGCUACCCAUUAGUGUCCUUUUCUAACUCCCAGCCCUUGAUCUUUCCAACCUCCUUCAGAGCCUCUUCCCAUUGGUGCACAAGGUUGGGCUUAUGCUUCUUCUUGUGUUUAUGGAGGGCUUCUAAGUAUGGUCCCUUGUUCAGCUUCACUUCAGAUGGAUCCACGUCGUAGAAUAGGGGCAGAAUCUCCAGCCCAGUUAGUUUACUGCAUUCCACCAUCUGUGCCAACUCAAGCAGGCACCAUUCACUCUCUGCAUAGUCUUUAGAGAAGAUGGGUAUGCAUAUUUUUGAGUUUUUGAUUGCUUGGAGUAGCAAGCUGAUCCUCCCUCCAAUGGGGAGCUCAUCAUUGUCUCUGAAAGCACGGAUUCCAGCAUCCACAAGCCUGGUAUAGAGGCAAUCUACAAACUUUUUGCGAGUAUCAGGGCCUCUAAAGCUCAAGAAGACUUCGUACUCAACACCCGGUGAGUCUGAAGAGCUAUGAGAUGAUUGAUCACAACUUUCCCCAACAUCUGAAUAACUGCUUCGAAGUCUUUUUCUCCGAUAAGAAUCUUCAUGAAACCUGUUGCUCCAAUCAAAUUUCUUUUGUGAACAUUGUGUUUGAAGAGCACGAAGAGUUUCCCAGAUGCAUACCUUCAGAGUUUUACGAUUAGAUCUCUGAACAACUUUCCCGGGAGAAAAUGAAUAACGAAAACCAGAAUUAGCAAUGAGGGGUCUACUGUACAUUUGGUUAGGGGUUGGAACAUUUGCAAAUGUUCUGCAUAUCAUGAUGAGAUGAUGCAAGAAUUGAAACAGGUGAGAAGUUUUUAUCCUUAUAAAAACAGGCCAAAUGAACGAUAUGUUUGAUGGUAGUCUUCAGCUGAGGCAGCUGAGCUCCUUAUAUAUCUUUCCAAAACCUUGUUUCAGUAGUUCACACCGCUGGCAUUCAAAUAUUAGUUUAGUAGAUGAAAGUCGUUAAAACCAAGAUAGGAGCUGCAAGACUUCUAAUUAUUUAUCUUGAUCGCCAUCACAACACGGUCUCGACAUUUUAGACCAAUAAAGAUUCUUGGUGAGCAAGUUUUAGUAUUACCAGCUGUCAACUCAUUGGUUGCACCGCUAAUGACAUUUCUAAUACUUUUCCAAAUCUCGAGAAAAUUUUCUCUUAAAAUAUCACUCUAAAAAAUGACAUUGGCUUAUCCAUUUGCGGUCACCGAACAAGUACAAAAGUAGGAGGAUCUCAACAGUAAAACCUUUUUGCACCCCCACUAGGAGAAAUUCUGGUUUCCCUUUUGAAGCCUCCUUUCCACAAACUGCAGAAAAAGCCUGCCCCGGAAUCUGUUGAACUAAUUCACAACAUAACUUUAUUAUACCUUGCAAUACACUAUGUGGGAUUUGACUUUGACAGAUACAAUAUAUAUACACAGAGAGAGAGACACACGCGAAUUGUUUAAUUUCCGAUGAUUACGUGUUCAGACCAAUGACUUCAGCCAAACCCAACCUCUUUUCUCAUAAAUUGCGUUGAAAUUUCACGUGCAAUGUUCAUGAAUUUUAAAAAGAUGCAUUCUUGUCAGAUCCAUCAGAUGCUUGGAACAUAUUUAAAAUUCAUUUCUUUAUGAGCAAGCAAUAAAAAAGAGAAUGUCUCCUCAAUCAUAAGAAAGCAAAGACUUUUAGCUGCAAAAAGGAAACUUCGGUUCAGAUGCUUCGGACGCGGGAACAACGUGGACGAUUAUACCAUAUUUUGAAAAUCUUGGACUUCCCGUCAUGCCCAAAUCACAGCACUGCCAAGGAACGAAAGCCCGUCUAAAUCAAGAGGCAAAUUCCCAUAAACGAAAGAACCAGUCAUGAACCAGGGCGGCGCGGAGAAGAGGGGAAUUUCCCCGGAAACAGUGGCGAUCUUUCAUGCUCGAGUUCGAGCUGAAGAGGGGGCAGUCGCUGAAAAAUCCGCAGCUGCUUCGAAGCGCAUUGCCGGUCGCGAGACGAAGGGAAGCUCAACGGACGGAAGGACCGACCGGAACCCAUCACCGGCUCGAAUAAAGGUUAUCCCGACAUCGUCAGUUACGUCAGUUACGUCAGUUAGGACCGGUUUAGGAUGCAUUCGAAUUGUGACUGAAAAUCAUUCUUCUUCAUCUUUUUAUUUUAUUUUAUUUUUAUUCUCUGCAAGUGGACGUGAUUCAAUUUUUUUUUUUUUUUUAAAUUGGCGAGAGGGAGAAGGAAAAUGAAAUAAAUUAAUUGCUUAGGAAAAUAAAUUCAGGAAAAAUGAAUUUUAUCUUUGGAAAUUCUGAAAUUAUUUUUCAAAAAAUGACUAGGUCAUGACUUGAACGAGAUACUCUGUGCUUGAGCAGUGGGCUAGAUUUAGAGGCCGAGACUAGGUUCUAAGAGGUCGGGCCCAAGAUCCCGGUGCAUGUGUCCAUUUGCUUGACAAUUGGGCUUGGUGUCGAUGAGGUAGGCUCGAGAUAUUGAUGCCCGUGCCUGGAAGGUCUGUCUGAAAUCUCGAGCACCAUGCCUAGGUCCAUCAAAGUCGAGCCUCAAACCCUGGUGCUCAUGCCCCGGAUCCCCAAUGUCCAAGCUCAAAUCCAUGUAGGUCAAGCUUGAGUCCUAGAGGCUGCUAGACUUGGUUCCUUGACGCUCAGGUUAGAGUACUCGAUGCCCAAGUUCGGGUCCAUCGAGUUUGGACCUAGGUCCACUGAGGUCGAGCUCGGGACCCCAGUGCCCUUGCCCCAAUUCAAUGAGGUCAGGUCCGUAGAAAUUGCCAUGUGAAAGUAAAUACCAUGUUAAAAGGAAAAGAAUUUGCAAGCAAUGGCAAGCUAAGCUUAAAAUAAUUGCCUCAUGAAGGUAAUCAUAUGGAAGUAAACUUCCCCCCAAAGAAAAAGACUAAAAAGAGUGCAGUAGUAGGUUUGCUAGAUUUGGCAUUGGUGUUCUAAGAAGAACCCUUAUUAAAUAGUCCACUACUUAAAGAUAUAAUACUGGCUUGCGUGACUUUGUGGUGCAAGGCUGUAUAUACCGUGAUUCCAGGUUCCAUCUGGGGAAAGUUUAUUACUAGAUCCUAUAGCACUAACUUGCCAACUCCAUCAGAAGAGACGAAAAUAUGUUACAGGCAACAGCCUUUUAGGUGUGCAAAGAGUUGAGUUACACUGACAGUCACUAGUAGUACGUGAUGGCAAGAUUGGUCCACUAAAUGGCAAUUGCCAUCAAACUGUUUGCUAUUUCUGCCUCGAUUUCUCUUCAAAGCUCUGAUCUGAAAUGACAAUCGACUCUUCAUUAGUGCUCAAAGCUCAUAGCAAGAGAAAACUUGACUCAAGGCCUGCUUGACAUGAAUUUCGUGAUCCAGUAUCCAGAUUAUGCUGGAACUAGAAUUAGAGAUGCAAAAAGAAAUGCUGAGUAGAAUUUGUACUGGGCGUAAACAUCGAGCAUGUAAUUCUUGAGCUGAUUUAUUUGACAGUCUGAAUGAGUAGCACUGCUGAUAUUAACGAGGGAAUUAAUAGACUUUUGGAGACCAUGCGAUAACUAUCCUAUUGACUUUUUUUUUUUUUUUUUUGGUAAGUAAGAAGUAAUAUAAAUAUAAAAAGGGGGCAAAAAAAACAAAGAACCGGCUUCAAAGACUCGCACUCAAAAGAACAGUCUCAAAAGAGUGAAAGGAAGCCGAGCAAAGGCCAAGCGGCCAAAAGACGACAAAAGAAAAACAACACACACUAAGACCAUGAACCAGCUACACAUCAAACUGUGAAGAUAGCAGGGUCCAAUUUCCAGGAGCGUUGUAAUCUUCUGUUUUUUGGGGAAUCCUCCACAUUUUUGAAGGUGCAUGCUUUAUCUUUGACCACCUUCAUGAGAUGCAUCUUCAUAGAAGAAGUAGAAAUCUGCGCACCCCUGAAGAGGAUGUCAUUUCUGUUCUUCCACACAAUGUGGCAUAAAGCACCAAAAGAAAAGCGGGUGAUGCAAUUAUGGAAGUCCUUGCCGGACUAUCCUAUUGACUUUAUAGUGUCAUAAACUCAGAAACAAGUAGCUGCAAAGAGAAAUCGUUAGGCUGCUAAGUGCUGAUAGAUACAAGUAGGUUCAUACAUUGAACCCUCAACUCCAUCAUUGUGCUUAUAUAUGACGGAACCACAAGAGAAAUUCUCCCCUGAAUCAGUGAGAAAGGAAAGGAAAGGAAAGGAAAGGAAAGGAAAUCUUAUUAGCACCUCACAUAUACAGUAAAAUUGUUUCAUUAUGCUAACAAUCCUGUUGCAUCUAUAGCUGAACAAAUAUGGAGGACACUUUUUUUACAAAAGAAAGAAAGAAAGAAAGAAAAACAACAUUCGAGUACUUUCUUCUCGCCCUUUUUUCCUGCACAAACAUUUUGCCAUUGCUUAAUUUGAAGCCAAUAAAGCAGUGUCACGCCUAGAAACAGUUAUCUCCUUUGAUGGAUCGCAGGAUACCAAGACCUGCAAUUUCACGUAUCUUUUCACAAUCUUCAAUGUACAGAGAUUUCAGGCUUUUGAAGUUCGUUAAGUCCGGCAACCUUUCCACAGAUUUGCAGCCAAUAAUUCUCAAGUUCUCCAAGGACUCUAACUGGUCAAGGCCUUCAAUGUCAGUUAUCUUCUCGCAACUGUCGAUCUCCAAGUCCUUCAGCUUCUUCAAGUUUGAAAAGUCCGGCAGUCUCUCCAAGGAUCUGCACUCCGAAAUCUGCAAUUCCUCCAGGGAUUCCAAUCUGUCAAGCCCUCCAAUAUCCUUGAUCUUAUCACAAUUCUUGAUUUCCAGAACUUUCAACUUUUUCAAGUAUGACAAAUCAGGGAAACUCCCGAUGGAUCUGCACUCGGAUAUCUGCAGUUCUUCCAAUGACACCAAUUUAUCAAGCCCUUGGAUCUCGAGCAACUUCUCACAGUCUCGCAGUUUAAAUUCUUUCAGCUUCUUCAAGUUUGAGAGAUUGGGUAACCUGUCAAGAGACUCACAGUUACGUAGAACCAAGCGUCUCAGAGAUUCUAACCGCUCAAGCCCAUCAAGCGUUUUCAAUUUGCAGUAUAUCACAUCAAAAACUUGAAGCGACUCCAACCCUUCAAGGCCCCGAAUCUCUGAUAUAGCCGAGUGAAGGAGCUCCAACUCUGAUAGAUUUCUCAAGUUCGAAAGAUCAGGAACAAUUGUCAUAGACUUGCAGUUCCCUAUAUAUAGUGUAGAUAAGCUUGAGGGAAGUUCAGUAAAAGAUUG
rnacentral:lncRNA from 1 species